UGUGCAUCCCAAAGAAGAAGGGGCUUGGGGUUCAGGGACCUUCACAGUUUUAAUCUUGCUUUACUAGCAAAACAGUGUUGGCGACUUCUCUAGAAUCUAGACUCUUUGUGUGCAAGGAUCCUUAAUGCAAAGUACUAUCCCGGUGGAAAUAUUCUUGAAGCGGGACCAAAGAAAGGUUCCUCGUUCAUGUGGCAAAGCAUUGUUUCGGGUAUUCAAACAUUCAAGAGGGGACACAUAUGGCGUGUUGGGAACGAGGCGCAUAUCAAUAUAUGGAAUGAUCCCUGGAUUCCAAGUAGUGAAACCCGGAAGGUUAUUACACCAAGAGGACAAACGAUGAUAGAUAAAGUUGAGGACUUAAUUGAUCCAAACUCUGGUCAAUGGGAUGAAGAGACCUUAUGA
rnacentral:rRNA from 1 species